UACGUAGGUGGUUUAUUAAGUCAGAUGUGAAAAGCCCUGGGCUUAACCUGGGAACUGCAUUUGAUACUGGUAAACUAGAGUAUGGUAGAGGGGGGUAGAAUUCCUAGUGUAGCGGUGAAAUGCGUAGAUAUUAGGAGGAAUACCAGUGGCGAAGGCGGCCCCCCUGGGCCUAUACUGACACUGAGGUACGAAAGCGUGGGUAGCGAACA
rnacentral:rRNA from 1 species